rnacentral:ncRNA from 1 species
GAGAGCCUAGUGAUAGGUAACUAUCUCGCUGGGUUCGGAGAGAACUUUAGAUUAAGUAAUAAGUAUGUAUAUAAGAGACAUAAAUUACUAUAAUUUUAAUUUUACUCUAU